GUGCUCGCUCCAGCAGCACAUAUACUAAAAUUGGAACGAUACAGAGAAGUGUAGCAUGGCUCCUGCGCAAUGACAUGCAAAUUCAUGAAGCAUUCCAUAUUUUA